rnacentral:rRNA from 1 species
UACGAAGGGGGCUAGCGUUGCUCGGAAUCACUGGGCGUAAAGCGCACGUAGGCGGGUCUUUAAGUCAGGGGUGAAAUCCUGGAGCUCAACUCCAGAACUGCCUUUGAUACUGAGGAUCUCGAGUCCGGGAGAGGUGAGUGGAACUCCGAGUGUAGAGGUGAAAUUCGUAGAUAUUCGGAAGAACACCAGUGGCGAAGGCGGCUCACUGGCCCGGUACUGACGCUGAUGUGCGAAAGCGUGGGGAG